rnacentral:ncRNA from 1 species
AGGGGCGCCAAUGCGACAGGUUCCCAGAGAUGGGAUGAAAAGGGAACCCGGAAGCGAGCCUUGAGGCUCGCCGGCCGGGGCUGCCCCCGCAACUGUGACCGGCGAGCCCUGCUCCCCGCGCGCCACUGGAUCAUCCCGAUCCGGGAAGGCCGGGCAGGGCGACGACCCGCGAGCCAGGAGACCUGCCCGUCGCGGUUGUCCUUC